GCAAGUCCACUUCUGGAUUCAGCUGGCCUGGGAUGUCUUGGCAACAGUUUGGGACUGAACAGAAGUCUGGGUUUCAGAACACCACCCAGACAUCUGUGGUAAAGCUGAAGAUUUUAGGACAUCAGGCACGACAGGAACGGGAUGCAAAAAUCGCUAGAGACCUUCAACGAGCCUUCCAGUUGAGACUUGAAUGUGAAAACUUCCUGCUUACCAAAAUGUUGCGUACAAUGUUAUGCACUUGCCUGGAAAAAACCAAGCGCAAAGAAACCCUUGGCUUAAGCUGAAGUUGCCCUUCACUGGAGUUCAUCUCAAGCACAAACAGCAAAGCAGCCAAGAGAUAAGUAUAAGCUUCAGCCAUCACUUCCCCUCCCAUGUACACCGAUGGCAUUCAGCACUAAACCCCACCAUACCCGUUCUUUGCUGUUGGUUCCUGAUUUUUGCUAUGAUUCUAUGAUUCAUGGCUUGUCUUGGUAGCUUAGGUGGUGCAGUCUUUUUUGGAAUAAGCAAGAAGAUCAGUGACAAAAGAUAAUCUGUCUUUAGGAAAAGAUUAUUCAGUAUUUUUUUGGCAAAUAUCAGUUCAGUGCUUGCCGUACGUAGCAUAAAACAUGCUGUAGAAUUUGAGGCCAGGUGUCCAAAGAGGAAAUGCACCUGUUCCAUGGGAAUUCCUUCCUCCAGAGUUACUGCUUUGCAGUGCCUGGUGCUCUGUAGUAGUAGUAGUGUGCCAAUAAAUCACUGGUUUGGACAUAAAAGGACAGCAG